rnacentral:rRNA from 1 species
UACAGGGGGGGCAAGCGUUGUUCGGAAUUACUGGGCGUAAAGGGUUCGUAGGUGGCUUACUAAGUCAUACGUGAAAUCCCUCGGCUUAACCGGGGAACUGCGUCUGAUACUGGAUGGCUUGAGGUUGGGAGAGGGAUGCGGAAUUCCAGGUGUAGCGGUGAAAUGCGUAGAUAUCGUAAGGAAGACCAGUGGCGAAGGCGGGUCUCUGGACAGUUCCUGACGCUGAGGCAACGGAAGGUCAGAGGAGCAAACAGGG